AAGAGUAGUUAGGCAGAGGCACACAGCCAGCUUCUAUCUGAUUCAAAUCUUCAACCAGAAGUUCAUAGUGAAGUUUAAUCUCUUCUUGAGUUUUCCCAGGUACAUCAGCUGCAAUUUUCUCCCAACGAUCUGGAGCAUCCUCAGGAUAUGUUGCAAGAGCAUUCUCAAAUGCCUUAUCCUGCUCUCUGGUCCACAAAGAGCUACAGCCCACUUCAUCCACAGUCAUCUAGACUUGUUUGAAUCCCCAAUCCGGAAUACACUCACAACACAAGGAAAGAAAUCUACCCAAGGUGCUUUAGAAGGUAGGCUAACCUAUAAGCCAAUCUCAAAAAGCAGGGAUUUUCUAGAACAGUUCUUGAAACUUAGAUCUGAAUUAUUUCUAUAAUUGGUAUCACCAACAACUGGAUAGAUGGUAGACUAAAAUUAUGGGAAAUCAGGAUGUGUCAGGAGAUAGAGGUAAGGAAGAAUAGAUACAGAGGAACCCCUAAAAAGGCCAAGAGUGCUGAACCAGAGAU
rnacentral:misc_RNA from 1 species